rnacentral:lncRNA from 8 species
AGAGAGAGAGAGAGAGAGAGCGCGAGAGUGAGAGAGAGAGAGAGAGAGAGAGAGAGAGAGAGAGAGAGAAGUGGGAGAGAGAGAAGUGGGAGAGAGUGUGAGAGAGAGAAGUGGGAGAGAGUGUGUGUGUGAGAGAGAGAGAGAGAGAGAGAGAGAGAGAGAGAGAGAGAGAGAGAGAGAGAGGAGGGCUAACUGUGUGGAACCAAGCUCAUUACCCAAGCAUUCACACAGACCGGUUAUUACCGAAUACAGAGCACCUGGGAAUCACAACACCUGGACAAACCACACUUCACUACAACUACAUUAGAGGAGACUGUUACCAUGGCCACCAUAACCCUGUCACUGCUUCUCCCCGCUGUUCUGCUCAGAACACUGACAGAGUGUAUGGAGUGAUGCCAGACCCCCUGUGAGAUUGCUAGAGAUGCUGCGGGGGCCUAACUUGAUUGGAGACUUCACCCUGCAGUGUGACAACCAGGGACAAUACACCCCUCAGCAGUGGCCAGGCUCUGCAGUUUCUGUUGGUGUGGACAGAAGAGCCCUGGUACUGAGUCCACCAGACACUGCUCACAUAAACUGUGAGAGGACAGGUAGGACGAGUAUGUGUUUGUUUAUAUUAGUGUGCCUUUAUACACUCACUGUACAAAACAUUAAGAACACAUGUGACGACCCUCCCACUCUAUCUGCUGUGUUCUCUCUUUGCUCUUGUUUCCUUAUUAGGAUGCCGGUGGGCGGGUCGUCAGCUACAUGGGAAACACCUGGGCCCAGGUGUGUCCCAGGAUAAAUAGACCUCUUCCACAGUCAUUGAGACUUUCUCCAUGCAGACACUAUGGUUUAUUUGUAUAUAGGUUACUUUAGUUUUUUCAAUUGUUUAAGCACAAUUUUGAAAACAGGGCCCGGUUUGUCAAAACACUACACACAAUUAGCACAACCCUACACCAAAGUAGCACAACAACACUUUAGUCAAAACUAUACACGACUACAUAAAAACAAUAUUUUGUUACCAUACGAAACACACAUUUCAUAUGACUUCAAUCUUUUUGAACCAGUUACAUACUGCUGUUGCUAACGUAAAACACUUUUAGCAAGUCUAAUUGUCAGUGAUUAGAGUACUGUAAAUGAAGUACACAGAGAAAGUGAAACUAUACAAACACUACACAAGACCAAUGCUGCAGACUGAGGAAAAUAUCAUUUAUUUCUCUCCAUAUACCCAAAUAUGUCAACAUGGAGAAUCACAACACAUGUCCCAGUUUUCAUGCUACUACAGUAGUGUGCAUAACACUUACCUCAGCAAACAGACAAACGUAAAAUACUGUAUCCAGUACAGGUUACAAUUACAGUAAAUAACAACAAAAAAUAAUCUGAAAAAAUGGACAAUGUUGUACAGACAAUACUACAGUAAACAUACUAUACAUUAUCUCUUCGCCUAGCUGGAUCUGGCCAGAGAAUUUAAUCAACAUCACAAGCAAUAUCCUUAUUAGCAAGAUAACGCGGGAAGAACCGUCUUGAAUGUCUAAUCCAUCCUUGCACAGCUGCGGCGUCGACUUGGCCACAGGCGUCCUCCAUGGCCUGAAUGAGGGGUACCUGAGCCUGGGGCUGGAGAUCGUAAACCUUCCACCGCCAUGCAGAGAAACUCUUCGAUAGGGUUUAGAAACGGAGAGUAUGAUGGAAGGUAUAGUACUGUCAACUGUGGAUGGUGUUGAAACCAGUUCUAGACCAAAGCAGAGGUGAAAUGACACAUUGUCCCAGAUGACAGUAUUGCAUCUGGUGCAUUUCAUUACCUGCUGUGACGAUGUGGUGCAAUCGGUCCAAAAAUGCGAGAAUGUGAGGUGUGUUGUAAGGGCCUAUUUUGGCAUGAUGGAGGAGAACCCCAUGCUGUGAAAUGGCAGCGCAAAGGGUGAUGUUACCCACACGUUUCCCUGGGACAUUGAUUAUAGCCCUGUGGCCAAUGAUAUUUCUGCCUCUCCUUCUUGCUUUUGUGAGGUUGAACCCUGCCUCAUCAAUAUAUAUGAAUUCAUGCAGGAUUUCCUCAGCAUCCAUCUGCAAAACUCCCUGAAAUACAGUGAAAGACAAGAUUGUGUAGUUCAGGAUAGGUCUAGUAUACAGUCAAUGUAAAAAAGUAAUGUGUGCAGUAUGCAACAUCACAGUGCUAAAGUGAACAAUACAAACCUCCACAUACUCAUGCUGCAGCCGUUUGACCCUCUCUGAAUUCCGCUCAAAAGGCACUGGAUAAAGUUGUUUCAUUUGAACCUGAUGUCUUUUCAGGAUGCGUGCCAGUGUUGACUGAGAGGCCUGAUGGACAUUGAGAAUGGCAUGGUCACCGAUAAUGUUGGCUUGUAGUUCUGAGCCUGAUAGGAUUAUUGGCCAAAACCAUGUUUAUUAUCUCUCUUGUGCUUGCGUGAAUAUGGGCCCCCUUCCUCUUUGUCGUUCCCGACCCUCAAUCCUAUGUAGAGAAUAAUACAUGUAACUUACUGUACAAUGUCACAGGAAGGGGUAUCACAAGUGUUGAUAUGGUGCAUACAAUAAGCGGCUGAUUACUGUAACUGUAGACAGAUCUUCUUUUACCUGUUGUCCUGUCAAAAAGUCCUUAUGACAGAUGCCACUGUAUAUCUGCUAAGAUUUGGCUGAACUCAGUCCAGCCUCCCUCAGCAUCAAUCCGUGGUUCACAACAUGGUCCACUAGUGUUGCACGAAUGUCAAUUGGAUAAGUUUGAUUCUCUUAUUCUUUGUGCACGUUCUACUCCUGCUUCAGGUCUUCCUCUGGCUCGGCCUCUUCCUCUACCUCCUUCUCCUCUGUGUACUCCUCCUCUCACCCUCACUCUUCUUCUGACUCCUUCCAUUUUGGUUGAAGGCAGGUAAACCUACCUGCUGCAUUUUUAUAGUGCUUAAACCUGAUUGGUGUGUCUACAAUUUAGCAAUCGUGUUUGUGCACCUGAUGGCUGUGUUUAACUUCUCUACGGCCGGCGGGACGAAAUCGUCCCACCUACGUAACAGCCAGUGGAAUCCUGUGGCGCGUUAUUCAAAUACCUUAGAAAUGCUAUUACUUAAAUUUCUCAAACAUAUUACUAUUUUACAACAUUUUAAAGACAAGACUCUCGUUAAUCUAACCACACUGUCCGAUUUCAAAAAGGCUUUACAACGAAAGCAAAACAUUAGAUUAUGUCAGCAGAGUACCCAGCCAGAAAUAAUCAGACACCCAUUUUUCAAGCUAGCAUAUAAUGUCACAAAAACCCAGAAGACAGCUAAAUGCAGCACUAACCUUUGAUGAUCUUCAUCAGAUGACACACCUAGGACAUUAUGUUAUACAAUACAUGCAUGUUUUGUUCAAUCAAGUUCAUAUUUAUAUCAAAAACCAGCUUUUUACAUUAGCAUGUGACGUUCAGAACUAGCAAACUUCCGGUGAAUUUACUAAAAAUGUACUAAAUUACUCACGAUAAACGUUCACAAAAAGCAUAACAAUUAUUUUAAGAAUUAUAGAUACAGAACUCCUCUAUGCACUCGAUAUGUCCGAUUUUAAAAUAGCUUUUCGGUGAAAGCACAUUUUGCAAUAUUCUCAGUAGAUAGCCCGGCAUCACAGGGCUAGCUAUUUAGACACACAGCAAGUUUAGCACUCACCAAAGUCAGAUUUACUAUAAGAAAAAUGUUAUUACCUUUGGUGUUCUUCGUCAGAAUGCACUCCCAGGACUUCUACUUCAAUAACAAAUGUUGGUUUGGUCCCAAAUAAUCCAUUGUUAUAUCCAAACAGCGGCGUUUUGUUCGUGCGUUCAAGACACUAUCCGAAAGGGUAAAUAAGGGUGACGAGCAUGGCGCAUUUCGUGACAAAAAAAUUCUAAAUAUUCCAUUACCGUACUUCGAAGCAUGUCAACCGCUGUUUAAAAUCUAUUUUUAUGCCAUUUUUCUCGUAAAAAAGCGAUAAUAUUCCGACCGGGAAUCUGCGUUUAGGUAAAAAGAGGAAAGAAAAUAAAGCACGGGGUCGACUCGUGCACGCGCCUAAGCCCAUUGUCCUCUGAUCGGCCACUUGCCAAAAGCGUAAAUGUGUUUCAGCCUGGGGCUGCCUCGAUAGCAUUCAUCUUUUUCCCGGGCUCUGAGAGCCUAUGGGAGCCGUAGGAAGUGUCACGUUACAGCAAAGAUCCUCAGUCUUCAAUAAACAGAGACAAGAAGAACAAGAUCUUGUCAGACAGGCCACUUCCUGUUC